rnacentral:piRNA from 1 species
GUACUAUGUGGACCUGAGUGGGGG